rnacentral:rRNA from 1 species
UGAAUAGGGCGUUUAGUAUUUGGUCGUAGACCCGAAACCAGGUGAUCUACCCUUGGUCAGGUUGAAGUUCAGGUAACACUGAAUGGAGGACCGAACCGACUUACGUUGAAAAGUGAGCGGAUGAACUGAGGGUAGCGGAGAAAUUCCAAUCGAACCUGGAGAUAGCUGGUUCUCUCCGAAAUAGCUUUAGGGCUAGCCUCAAGUGAUGAUUAUUGGAGGUAGAGCACUGUUUGGACGAGGGGCCCCUCUCGGGUUACCGAAUUCAGACAAACUCCGAAUGCCAAUUAAUUUAACUUGGGAGUCAGAACAUGGGUGAUAAGGUCCGUGUUCGAAAGGGAAACAGCCCAGACCACCAGCUAAGGUCCCAAAAUAUAUGUUAAGUGGAAAAGGAUGUGGCGUUGCCCAGACAACUAGGAUGUUGGCUUAGAAGCAGCCAUCAUUUAAAGAGUGCGUAAUAGCUCACUAGUCGAGUGACACUGCGCCGAAAAUGUACCGGGGCUAAACAUAUUACCGAAGCUGUGGAUUGUCCUUUGGACAAUGGUAGGAGAGCGUUCUAAGGGCGUUGAAGCAUGAUCGUAAGGACAUGUGGAGCGCUUAGAAGUGAGAAUGCCGGUGUGAGUAGCGAAAGACGGGUGAGAAUCCCGUCCACCGAUUGACUAAGGUUUCCAGAGGAAGGCUCGUCCGCUCUGGGUUAGUCGGGUCCUAAGCUGAGGCCGACAGGCGUAGGCGAUGGAUAACAGGUUGAUAUUCCUGUACCACCUAUAAUCGUUUUAAUCGAUGGGGGGACGCAGUAGGAUAGGCGAAGCGUGCGAUUGGAUUGCACGUCUAAGCAGUAAGGCUGAGUAUUAGGCAAAUCCGGUACUCGUUAAGGCUGAGCUGUGAUGGGGAGAAGACAUUGUGUCUUCGAGUCGUUGAUUUCACACUGCCGAGAAA